CUACGGGGUGCUCCAGUGAGGAAUAUUGCACAAUGGGGGGAACCCUGAUGCAGCAACGCCGCGUGGAGGAUGACGCAUUUCGGUGUGUAAACUCCUUUUAUAUGUCAAGAAAAUGACGGUAGCAUAUGAAUAAGCACCGGCUAACUCCGUGCCAGCAGCCGCGGCAAUACGGAGGGUGCAAGCGUUACUCAGAAUCAUUGGGCGUAAAGGACGCGUAGGCGGGUUGGAAAGUCAGGUGUGAAAUCCUACAGCUUAACUGUAGAACUGCACUUGAAACUUCUAAUCUAGAGUAUGGGAGGGGGAGAUGGAAUUAGUGGUGUAGGGGUAAAAUCCGUAGAUAUCACUAGGAAUACCUAAAGCGAAGGCGAUCUCCUGGAACAUUACUGACGCUAAGGCGUGAAAGCGUGGGGAGCAAACAGGAUUAGAUACCCGCGUAGUC
rnacentral:rRNA from 1 species